UACGUAGGGCGCAAGCGUUGUCCGGAAUUAUUGGGCGUAAAGAGCUCGUAGGCGGCUUGUCACGUCGAUUGUGAAAGCCCGAGGCUUAACCUCGGGUCUGCAGUCGAUACGGGCUAGCUAGAGUGUGGUAGGGGAGAUCGGAAUUCCUGGUGUAGCGGUGAAAUGCGCAGAUAUCAGGAGGAACACCGGUGGCGAAGGCGGAUCUCUAGGCCAUUACUGACGCUGAGGAGCGAAAGCGUGGGGAGCGAACAGG
rnacentral:rRNA from 1 species